UACGGAGGGGGCGAGCGUUAUUCGGAAUUAUUGGGCGUAAAGGGCGCGUAGGCGGCUCUAUAAGUCAAAGGUGAAAUCCCUCGGCUCAACUGAGGAACUGCCUUUGAAACUGUUGGGCUUGAGUCCGGGAGAGGGUAGUGGAAUUCCCAGUGUAGCGGUGAAAUGCGUAGAUACUGGGAGGAACACCAGUGGCGAAGGCGGCUACCUGGACCGGUACUGACGCUGAUGCGCGAAAGCGUGGGUAG
rnacentral:rRNA from 1 species